rnacentral:rRNA from 1 species
UACGAAGGGGGCGAGCGUUGUUCGGAAUUACUGGGCGUAAAGGGCGCGCAGGCGGCCGAUCAAGUCAGGCGUGAAAGCCCCGGGCUUAACCUGGGAAUUGCGCUUGGGACUGAUGGGCUAGAGUUCGGGAGAGGAGAGUGGAAUUCCCAGUGUAGAGGUGAAAUUCGUAGAUAUUGGGAAGAACACCGGUGGCGAAGGCGGCUCUCUGGACCGAUACUGACGCUGAGGCGCGAAAGCGUGGGGAG